GAUGAAGAACGUAGCGAAAUGCGAUACGUAAUGUGAAUUGCAAAUUCAGUGAAUCAUCGAGUCUUUGAACGCACAUUGCGCCCCCUGGUAUUCCGGGGGGCAUGCCUGUCCGAGCGUCAUUGCUGCCCUCAAGCACGGCUUGUGUGUUGGGCCCCGUCGUCCGAUCCCGGGGGACGGGCCCGAAAGGCAGCGGCGGCACCGCGUCCGGUCCUCGAGCGUAUGGGGCUUUGUCACCCGCUCUGUAGGCCCGGCCGGCGCUUGCCGAUCAACCCAAAUUUUUAUCCAGGUUGACCUCGGAUCAGGUAGGGAUACCCGCUGAACUUAAGCAUAUCAAUAAGCGGAGGA
rnacentral:misc_RNA from 1 species